rnacentral:rRNA from 1 species
GACGAACGCUGGCGGCGUGCCUAAUACAUGCAAGUGGACGCAAGGGAACACACUGUGCUUGCACACCGUGUUUUCUUGAGUCGCGAACGGGUGAGUAACGCGUAGGUAACCUGCCUAUUAGCGGGGGAUAACUAUUGGAAACGAUAGCUAAUACCGCAUAAUAUUAAUUAUUGCAUGAUAAUUGAUUGAAAGAUGCAAGCGCAUCACUAGUAGAUGGACCUGCGUUGUAUUAGCUAGUUGGUAAGGUAAGAGCUUACCAAGGCGACGAUACAUAGCCGACCUGAGAGGGUGAUCGGCCACACUGGGACUGAGACACGGCCCAGACUCCUACGGGAGGCAGCAGUAGGGAAUCUUCGGCAAUGGACGAAAGUCUGACCGAGCAACGCCGCGUGAGUGAAGAAGGUUUUCGGAUCGUAAAGCUCUGUUGUAAGUCAAGAACGUGUGUGAGAGUGGAAAGUUCACACAGUGACGGUAUCUUACCAGAAAGG